AUGGACCCCGACUCAGUGGCGAAGGCGUUCGUCGAGCACUACUACCGCACGUUCGAUACCAACCGGGCGGCGCUGGUGGGGUUGUACCAGGAGGGCUCCAUGCUCUCCUUCGAGGGCGAGAAGUUCCACGGAGCCGCCGCCAUCGCCACCAAGCUCACCUCCCUCCCCUUCACCAAGUGCGCCCACACCGUCGUCACCGUCGACUGCCAGCCCGCCGGCCCCACGGGCGGCAUGCUCGUCUUCGUCUCCGGAUCCCUCCAAGUCGACGGCGAGCACCACAUCAAGUUCUCCCAGAUGUUCCACUUGAUGCCACUCGGACCAGGGAACUUCUACGUGCACAACGACAUGUUCCGCCUGAACUACGGCUAA
rnacentral:rRNA from 1 species